AAGACACCUGUCACCUGUCACUCUCCUUCCCUUCCCUCCCAGCUUGCUCUGCCCUGCUCUGCUCCGCUCUUCUCUGUUCUGCUCUGCUCUGCUCCCUCCCAAGCAUUCUUUCGAGAGCACAUUAUGUACUGGCAGUCCUCCACGCCACGUCAGCUUUAGUGAUGUGGGGGACCGCGCCUGUUCCACGCCCGCCCUGAGCAGAGUGGCACCGACAAGCUCAAAACGCCGCGCCAACUCACCCAACAUGGACGGUCCUGGCAGACGGACAAAGCCACAGGGAGGGCUCAUCACCUCAGCGAGGAGCACAUCGUUAGUGCGGUGAGGCGUGAGUGUGUACCGGGCCUGCGAGUGAUCGUCAGGCCGUGGGGUGGCGCUGCGGGGCCGCCAGACGGAGAUGUUACCCCGUCAAGCUGCAGGCUCCAUCCGUCCCGCAAUCCCCUGGGGCGAUGAGCGGAAAGCAACACAGGGGCGCCUCGCCAUCCGUCCACUUCAAAGUUUGAGG